rnacentral:rRNA from 1 species
UACGAAGGGGGCUAGCGUUGUUCGGAAUUACUGGGCGUAAAGCGCGCGCAGGCGGUCUUCCAAGUCAGUGGUGAAAGCCCGGAGCUCAACUCCAGAACUGCCUUCGAUACUGGCGAUCUAGAGUCCGGAAGAGGUGAGUGGAACUCCUAGUGUAGAGGUGGAAUUCGUAGAUAUUAGGAAGAACACCAGUGGCGAAGGCGGCUCACUGGUCCGGUACUGACGCUGAGGUGCGAAAGCGUGGGGAGCAAACAGGG